rnacentral:misc_RNA from 1 species
CGAAUCCAUGGGGAUUCUUUGUUGCAGGUUGUCAGGACUUGUUAUGAUAUUUAUUUGGAGAGUAAGAAUGUGGUGAAUCAGACUACUGCUAAGGCUUCAUUGGUUCAAAUGUUGGUGAUUGUCUUCCGGAGAAUGGAGGCUGAUUCAUCUACCGUGCCAUUGCAGCCUAUUGUUGUGGCGGAGUUAAUGGAACCAGCUGAAAAAGCUGAUGCUGAUGGAUCAAUGACAUUGUUUGUUCAGGGGUUUAUAACCAAAGUGUUUCAGGACAUUGAUGGGGUUUUCAAUGCGGGGACUCCAAGGGUGGGGGCUACAACUACUGGUGCUCAUGAUGGGGCAUUUGAGACAACGACGUCAACUGUGGAGUCCACGAAUCCUGCUGAUUUGUUGGAUUCCACGGAUAAAGAUAUGUUGGACGCUAAAUAUUGGGAGAUUAGCAUGUAUAAAACAGCUUUGGAAGGGCGAAAAGGGGAGCUGGUGGACGGGGAGGGAGAAAGGGAUGAUGAUUUGGAGGUUCAAAUUGGGAAUAAAUUGAGAAGGGAUGCAUUCUUGGUGUUUAGAGCUCUUUGCAAGUUAUCCAUGAAGACUCCACCGAAG